rnacentral:rRNA from 1 species
GGAAUAUUGGUCAAUGGACGCAAGUCUGAACCAGCCAUGCCGCGUGCAGGAUGACGGUCCUAUGGAUUGUAAACUGCUUUUGUACAGGAAGAAACCCUACUUCGUGAAGUAGAUUGACGGUACUGUAAGAAUAAGGAUCGGCUAACUCCGUGCCAGCAGCCGCGGUAAUACGGAGGAUCCAAGCGUUAUCCGGAAUCAUUGGGUUUAAAGGGUCCGUAGGCGGUCUAGCAAGUCAGUGGUGAAAUCUCCCCGCUCAACGGGGAAACGGCCAUUGAUACUACUAGACUUGAAUUAUUAGGAAGUAACUAGAAUAUGUAGUGUAGCGGUGAAAUGCUUAGAUAUUACAUGGAAUACCAAUUGCGAAGGCAGGUUACUACUAAUUGAUUGACGCUGAUGGACGAAAGCGUGGGGAGCGAACAGGAUUAGAUACCCGAG